CCGUGUUUGGGUCGGCUCAACCUGUCCUUGGGUCGACCCAACUUUCACUUGGGUCGACUCAAACAUUCCUUGGGUCGACCCUCUCAGAAAACACAGAAACUUGAAAUUUCAGCCUUCCUUCCCAUGGGUCGACCCAACCAUUCUUUGGGUCGACUCAAAGUUCACUUGGGUCGACUCAACUUCUUCUUGGGUCGACCCUCUCAGUAAUUCCAGAGAACCAUUUUCUGUCUGCCUUUCUGUCUUGCCUCUGGGUCGACCCUCUCAGGAUUUGGGUCGACUCAAGCUUGGGUCGACUCAACCACUGUUUGGGUCGACCCUCUCAGUAAAUCCAGAGAACAUAUUUCUUUCAUGUUUU
rnacentral:lncRNA from 1 species